rnacentral:rRNA from 1 species
AGGACGAACGCUGGCGGCGUGCUUAACACAUGCAAGUGGAGCGACGAACCAGGGCUUGCCCUGGGGCAGAGCCGCGAACGGGUGAGUAACACGUGGGUUACCUGCCUCAAUGACCGGGACAACCCGAGGAAACUCGGGCUAAUACCGGAUGUGCCCGCAAGGGGAAAGGAAGCUUCGGCCUCCGCAUUGAGAUGGGCCCGCGGCCCAUUAGCUUGUUGGUGAGGUAACGGCUCACCAAGGCUUCGAUGGGUAGCUGGUCUGAGAGGACGAUCAGCCACACUGGGACUGAGACACGGCCCAGACUCCUACGGGAGGCAGCAGUGGGGAAUCUUGCGCAAUGCGCGAAAGCGUGACGCAGCAACGCCGCGUGGGGGAAGAAGGCUUUCGGGUUGUAAACCCCUUUCAGUUGGGACGAAGCUUCGGCGGUUAAUAGCUGUCUGGAGUGACGGUACCUUCACAAGAAGCACCGGCUAACUACGUGCCAGCAGCCGCGGU